rnacentral:lncRNA from 1 species
GUAUACAUAAGGGUAGUAAUAUUUCUAACUUAUAAAAAUACAACACAGGUUUGACACUAAGAAUGUAAAUGAAUGGAUAUGUUGGAUAUACCACCUCAGUAAGACAGCAACCCAAAUGACACCAAACACAACAUGACAUUCAGAACGAAAGAAGUAUAGUUAUAUCUUUCAUGGGAAACAUUGACUGUUCAUUAGGUUACACAAACAUCAGACUCCAUCUUAGAAUUUUUAUUUUAGAAUGAAAAAAUAAUAAAUAGAAAAAAAUAUGAUCAUAAGAUAUUAAUUCAAACAUUGUAUUUAACUUAGAAAAAUGUGAAAUGGAAUCGACACCAGUAUUUGGGGAUGAGGCGUUUUGUAUGAUAUGUCCAUUUUGCCGUCAUGAGAUUAUAACAGCCAUAUCUUACAAUGCUGGAACUUUGUGCUGGUUUUUAUGUGGGCUAAUGAUAUUUUUGGGGUAAGUAUAUUUUUUUUAUGUCUUAGUGCUGCUGCGGACGGAUAUGUUAAAAAUAGCAAUAAGAACAAAAAAAAUCACUUGUAAAAAGAAAUCGAUCCCUUUGUCUAUGCUGACCUUCUUUCGAAUAUAUAGAAAUACGGAAGAAGGUAUCAAUAGUAGAACAUAUUUUACUAGCAUAGGCGGUACAGAGGGGACCCCCCCUUUCGUGAGAAAAAUUUGGUUGAUUAUAUAGGGAAUCACUGAAGCAUGACCUGAGCGGCCCCCUAAGGUCAGUCAGCGGGCCACCCCUAAUGAAAAGUUCUGGAUCCGCCACUGACUAGUCACGAAAUUUCAUGCUUAUUGGGAUACCUUGUCUGAAUUGGCUUUUUGCAUAACUAUCUAGUACAAAUUGAAACAUAGUAAUCUGUCAUGUAAAAUAACCCGUUUGUUGUUAUCACUAUGAAACCCCAACCAUAACACAGGGCAGUGGUAUAACAGUACAAUCUAAGAACAAAAUAUUGAAACCAGUUGAAAAUUGCUUAAAUCAGCAGAUUAAAAAGUCAGAUAUUGAAACCAACGAAAAACGUAUAUAACAGAGUAAAAGAUGGUCUAAAAGCAUUUUAAUUAAAAACAACUCGAAAAGGACUUAAUCGUUUACUCAAACACAGUACAGUUGUCCUUAAAACAUAUUUCAAUAUAAUUAUUGGCUGUUCCUUUGUUACACAAUCAUGGUGAGGUUGUACUGAUUAUGAGUAUAUAUAUACGAAAUAUUCAAUCGAAAAUGUGAUGUAUAAUGCACCAAAGCAUACGGAAGAACUAAUAUAUUCUAAAAAUAUCAAUUAUUUUGAACAAUAGUGUACAUCACAUUUUGGAUGUUAUUUCUUCAUUGUCAGAAUAGACAGACUACUAGUAUAUAUGUUUAACAAAACAACAGACGCCUUUUUCUAGAAGAAUACCCUUAUGAUUGUUAUUAAUUAAUUGAUUUAUUGUUUCAGAUCUCCAUCAUAAAUGAGUAUAACACUUUUAUCUUAUAUCUCUAAUUGAUACCAGAAAUUAUGGAGAUCUGAAACAAUAAAUCGAUUAAGCAAUAACAAUCGUAAGGAUAUUUUUGUAUUUUCUUUCAAUGCAAUUAUAUACUAGAGGGAUUUAGUAACUUAUAAAUCUUUCAUUGUAUAAACAGAAGCUAAUACUAUGAUCUUUUUUUCAGUUUGUGGUUAGGUUGCUGUUUGGUACCAUUCUAUGUGAACGCUGUUAAAGAUUGUGUCCAUUCUUGUCCAAAUUGUUGGCAAAUCCUUGGUCGGUUCAAUCGACUCUAACCUUAUCGAUACAGAACUUCGAGUUUCGACAGAUCCUUCAAAAAUGACAAUGAUCGACCGAAGACAGAAUCAUGUGUUAGUUUACUCUAACAUCUUAAGCUGAACCCUUUGUGCAUGGUAAAGGGCACGAUAAGGACUGAAAAUUUGUUUUUGAUAAUUUUUCGAACAUGCAUAAUUAUUCAAAUAACGCAGUGGUAAACCAGGUCCUUGCGCUGUUUUUGAGGAUUUGUACAGAUUAACAAAAAAAAAUGAAUACAGAUCAAGAUCACUGAAAAUGGACAAGAACAAAAUUAAAGAAUCAUUAUAGAGAAAAUAAGGCCAUACAACUCAAGAAUAGAAACAAAACAAUGCUAUCUAGAUAGUGAAAAUAGAGAAAUACGACAUAAGUUUUUUUUUUACAUAAUUGAAGAUUUCCCAUUCUAGGCACUCGUUUAUGUUGAAAACGUAGCCAACAUAUUCUCGUUUUAUAAUAUGUCGAUGACAGAAAAUCUAAGGGUAAAACUUGUGUACACGUAGUAUACAUACAAUGGGUAGUACAAGUUUCAGAUUAUUUUGUUAGUUCAACAAGUGUGGACACAGAUGAGUGUGGAUAGUAUGUUUGGAUGUUUGACAGUGUUUUAGGAUAAAUGUAGUUCUAUGAUUUUCCUAUAUGUGUUAUUAACUGUGUUGCACGAUGACAACCAACCGGAGCAUUAGGAGUAUUGUUUAUUUUAUAUUUAGUUUAGUUUUUAUGUUCAAGACAGGCAUGGAAGAGACACUUAUUGCAUUAGUUACCAAAUGAUUAUGAUAGAAUAUGUUCCACAUCUUUGAUUUUGGAUACAUUUUAUAGCUAGGAGAGCAAC